rnacentral:rRNA from 1 species
AUUGAACGCUGGCGGCAGGCCUAACACAUGCAAGUCGAACGAGUGGCGGACGGGUGAGUAAUGUCUGGGAAUCUGCCUGAUGGAGGGGGAUAACUACUGGAAACGGUAGCUAAUACCGCAUACCAUCAGAUGACCCCAGAUGGGUUGCGCUUGUAGGUGGGGUAAUGGCUCACCAAGGCGACGAUCCCUAGCUGUUCUGAGAGGAUGACCAGCCACACUGGAACGGAGCCACGGUCCAGACGCCUACGGGAGGCAGCAGGGGGGAAUAUUGCACAAUGGGCGCAAGCCUGAUGCAGCCAGGCCGCUUGUAUGAAGAAGGCCUUCGGGUUGUAAAGUACUUUCAGCGGGGAGGCGUUACCCGCAGAAGAAGCACCGGCUAACUCCGUGCCAGCAGCCGCGGUAAUUC